AGGGAAAAGAGUGAGGGGUGAAUUGAGGGAGUAUUGGAUUAACGACGGGCUGUACGGUUCGAUGAACUGUGUACUAUACGACCAUGCGACGGUGAAUGCAACGCCGUUAGCUGUUCUGUCGAAUCGUAGUAACGUCACCUGCGGCAGGUCGAAAACGUUUCCGACGACUGUGUUUGGGCCCACUUGUGAUGCUCUUGAUACUGUUUUAAGGGAUUACCAGUUACCGGAGCUGCAGGUUAAUGAUUGGCUGGUUUUUCCUAAUAUGGGUGCUUAUACUAAAGCUGCUGGGUCCAAUUUUAAUGGAUUUAAUACUUCCGCCAUUGUUACUCACCUCGCUUGGCAACGACAAUUAUAGGGAAACGAGUGAGGGGUGAAUUGAGGGAGUAUUGGAUCAACGACGGGCUGUACGGUUCGAUGAACUGUGUACUUUACGACCAUGCGACAGUGAACGCAACGCCGUUAGCUGUUCUGUCGAAUCGUAGUAACGUCACCUGCGGCGGGUCGAAAACGUUUCCCACAACUGUGUUUGGGCCCACUUGUGAUGCUCUUGAUACUGUUUUAAGGGAUUACCAGUUACCGGAGCUGCAGGUUAAUGAUUGGCUGGUUUUUCCUAACAUGGGCGCUUAUACUAAAGCAGCUGGGUCCAAUUUUAAUGGAUUUAAUACUUCCGCCAUUGUUACUCACCUCGCUUAUGCUUAUCCAAGCUGAUGAACCACCUGAUUAGGAAUUACUACCGUGGUUUUGAUGGGUUUUUCCUUUUUUGGGUAUCUUUUUCUUAAUUUUGUUUGUAGUAAUUUAUAUUCCAAAUCAGUUUGUAAUUCUCUUGUAUGCCAUAAGAAUGCAAGGAUUUGCUAAAUGUGAUUUGCUCUAAUAUGGAAGUUUUUAAUAUUAGUUAUUAGAUAAAUCUGUUUGGAUGCACGCUUUUUAUUUAUAGUUUUGUACAUUUACAAAAAAAUUGUUCAUGCUUC
rnacentral:lncRNA from 1 species